rnacentral:misc_RNA from 2 species
AACGCACAUUGCGCCCCCUGGUAUUCCGGGGGGCAUGCCUGUUCGAGCGUCAUUACAACCCUCAAGCUCUGCUUGGUGUUGGGCUCGCCUUCGUCACGAAGGCCUGCCUCAAAAUCAGUGGCGGCCGCCGUCCGACCUUCAGCGCAGUAAUGCUCGUCGCUGGUAGGGAAGGACAGCAGGUGCCGUCAGCACAACCCCCACACACAAGGUUGACCUCGGAUCAGGUAGGGAUACCCGCUGAACUUAA